UGGGGGAUAUUGCACAAUGGGGGAAACCCUGAUGCAGCGACGCCGCGUGAGGGAAGACGGCCUUCGGGUUGAAAACCUCUGUCUUCGGGGACGAAUAAAUGACGGUACCCGAGGAGGAAGCCACGGCUAACUACGUGCCAGCAGCCGCGGUAAUACGUAGGUGGCAAGCGUUGUCCGGAAUUACUGGGUGUAAAGGGAGCGUAGGCGGGGAGGCAAGUUGAAUGUCUAAACUAUCGGCUCAACUGAUAGUCGCGUUCAAAACUGCCACUCUUGAGUGCAGUAGAGGUAGGCGGAAUUCCUAGUGUAGCGGUGAAAUGCGUAGAUAUUAGGAGGAACACCAGUGGCGAAGGCGGCCUACUGGGCUGUAACUGACGCUGAGGCUCGAAAGCGUGGGUAGCAAACAG
rnacentral:rRNA from 1 species